CUUGCUUAAAUAUAAGAGGUCCCGCCUGCCCAGUGAUUUAAUUUAACGGCCGCGGUAUCUUGACCGCGCUAAGGUAGCACAAUCAAUUGUCCUUUAAAUAAGGACUAGUAUGAAUGGCACCACGAGGGUUUAACUGUCUCCCUACUUUAAUCAAUAAAAUUGAUCUUCCCGUGAAGAAGCGGGAAUAUAAAUAUAAGACGAAAAGACCCCAUGGAGCUUAAAACUUAUUAUCACUUAUUAAAACCUUAAAACACACCAAUAAUUAUGAUAAAACAUUUUCGGUUGGGGCGACCCUGGAGAAAAACAAAUCCUCCAAGAUGAAUAGAUUAAAAUCUAAUGUUAGAGUGACAACUCAAACAAUCAAAAACCUGACAAAAUGACCCAGAAUAUAUCUGAUCAACGAACCAAGUUACCCUGGGGAUAACAGCGCAAUCCAUUUCAAGAGCCCCUAUCGACAAAUGGGUUUACGACCU
rnacentral:rRNA from 1 species